GUCUGGGGUUAGUAGUAGACUGUCAGGGGAGAGUGGUCUGAGGUUAGUAGUAGACUGUCAGGGGAGAGUGGCAUGGGGUUAGCAGUAGACUGUCAGGGGAGAGUGGUCUGAGGUUAGUAGUAGACUGUCGGGGAGAGUGGCAUGGGGUUAGUAGUAGACUGUCGGGGAGAGUGGCAUGGGGUUAGUAGUAGACUGUCAGGGGAGAGUGGUCUGAGGUUAGUAGUAGACUGUCAGGGGAGAGUGGUCUGGGGUUAGUAGUAGACUGUCAGGGGAGAGUGGUCUGAGGUUAGUAGUAGAUUGUCAGGGGAGAGUGUUUUGGGGUUCGUAGUAGAUUGUCAGGGGAGAGUGGUCUGAGGUUAGUAGUAGAUUGUCAGGGGAGAGUGGUCUGGGGUUAGCAGUAGACUGUCAGGGGAGAGUGGUCUGGGGUUAGUAGUAGACUGUCAGGGGAGAGUGGUCUGAGGUUAGUAGUAGACUGUCAGGGGACAGUGGUCUGAGGUUAGUAGUAGACUGUCAGGGGAGAGUGGUCUGGGGUUAGCAGUAGACUGUCAGGGGAGAGUGGUCUGAGGUUAGCAGUAGACUGUCAGGGGAGAGUGGUCUGGGGUUAGUAGUAGACUGUCAGGGGAGAGUGGUCUGGGGUUAGUAGUAGACUGUCAGGGGAGAGUGGUCUGGGGUUAGUAGUAGACUGUCGGGGGAGAGUGGUCUGGGGUAGUAGACUGUCAGGGGAGAGUGGUCUGAGGUUAGCAGUAGACUGUCAGGGGAGAUUGGUCUGAGGUUAGCAGUAGACUGUCAGGGGAGAGUGGUCUGGGGUUAGCAGUAGACUGUCAGGGGAGAGUGGUCUGAGGUUAGCAGUAGACUGUCAGGGGAGAGUGGUCUGGGGUUAGCAGUAGACUGUCAGGGGAGAGUGGUCUGAGGUUAGUAGUAGACUGUCAGGGGAGAGUGGUCUGGGGUUAGCAGUAGACUGUCGGGGAGAGUGGUCUGGGUUUAGUAGUAGACUGUCAGGGGAGAGUGGCAUGGGGUUAGCAGUAGACUGUCGGGGAGAGUGGCAUGGGGUUAGCAGUGGACUGUCAGGGGAGAGUGGUCUGAGGUUAGCAGUAGACUGUCGGGGGAGAGUGGUCUGGGGUUAGUAGUAGACUGUCAGGGGAGAGUGGUCUGAGGUUAGUAGUAGACUGUCAGGGGAGAGUGGUCUGGGGUUAGUAGUAGACUGUCAGGGGAGAGUGGUCUGAUGUUAGUAGUAGACUGUCAGGGGAGAAUGGUCUGGGGUUAGUAGUAGACUGUCAGGGGAGAGUGGUCUGAGGUUAGUAGUAGACUGUCAGGGGCGAGUGGCAUGGGGUUAGCAGUAGACUGUCAGGGAAGAGUGGUCUGAGGUUAGUAGUAGACUGUCAGGGGAGAGUGGUCUGGGGUUAGUAGUAGACUGUCAGGGGAGAGUGUUUUGGGGUUAGUAGUAGACUGUCAGGGGAGAGUGGUCUGGGGUUAGUAGUAGACUGUUGAGGAGAGUGGUCUGGGGUUAGCAGUAGACAGACAGGGGAGAGUGGUCUGGAGUUAGCAGUAGACUGUCAGGGGAGAGUGGUCUGGGGUUA
rnacentral:lncRNA from 1 species